CGGGGGGCUGCAGCAGUGGGGAAUAUUGCACAAUGGGGGAAACCCUGAUGCAGCAACGCCGCGUGAAGGAAGAAGGUUUUCGGAUCGUAAACUUCUAUCAGCAAGGAAGAUAAUGACGGUACUUGACUAAGAAGCCCCGGCUAACUACGUGCCAGCAGCCGCGGUAAUACGUAGGGGGCAAGCGUUAUCCGGAAUUACUGGGUGUAAAGGGAGCGUAGACGGUAAUAUAAGUCAGAUGUGAAAGCCCAAGGCUCAACCUUGGGACUGCAUUUGAAACUGUAUAACUAGAGUACAGGAGAGGAAAGUGGAAUUCCUAGUGUAGCGGUGAAAUGCGUAGAUAUUAGGAGGAACACCAGUGGCGAAGGCGACUUUCUGGACUGUAACUGACGUUGAGGCUCGAAAGCGUGGGGAGCGAACAGGAUUAGAUACCCCAGUAGUC
rnacentral:rRNA from 1 species